UGUACCCGGCAGUGGCAUGUGAACCAACUCUAGCCCCUCUCCGCUGUGGUCCAGGAGCCCCGCAAGAGCACUGAUUUGGGCAACCACCCACAGAGGAGAGAGCCUUCAUGGGAGUCCAGGAAUCCAGUGGAGAAUUCCAGAACACAUUGGAGGAAAAAAACCCAAACAUUUGGACUCCUUGGAGAAGAUCAGCAAGUUCAGAACACUUGAUUGGAGGCCUUGGAGGUGAGAAAAGGCGAUGAACCCAAGCAGCUCUGGGGCUGGGGCAGUUGUACAUCAACUUGACAGGUGAUAUUGGUGAUGCUGGUCUGAGGACCACACUCCAUGUGGAGAGGCUCCAAUCAACUGAGGGCUAACAAAAUGCAGACUAGCAUGAUUCCAGUUGGACCUACUACUUCUACUAAUUCACUGAAAGUGUAAAAAUGCAGCUUUUGACCUAAAGAACUGAUUACAAACAUGAAAUUCUGACUAAACAACGUGCUCUGCAAUCAUUCAUUCAUACUUCCCAGCUAGAACAGGUGGAUCUCACCUGGAGGAAGUACUCUCUCUGUCGGGGCAUUCAGAUGUGUACAGAAGGUAUUGGUUGCCAUGAUAACACUGCAACCCUACUGCUCUUUGGUGCCUGGAGGCCCAGGAUGCUUGAUUUCUGAAAAUGUGUGGGAGAGUUCUAAGCAAAGCAGUGUCUCAUCCAGAAUACCAAGAGAGCCCCCUUGAAGAUACCUGACUGACACCAGUGGAGACACAUGUUGCCCCAAACCCAAAGCCUCAGUCAAUGUUUGAAACAUCCUUUUGAAUUUCUUUGAAUGUCUUUUUGAAUUUAUAGUCUGGAACUAUAUCAUGGGAACUAUCCAUGUGUGUUAGUUCAUCAUUUUAGAAUUUUGGCUGCCUUUGGAAUUUUCCAGUGGGAAGAGAGGCCCUUCUGUCUAGUGCACCAUGUGUGGUACCAAAGCUUGACAGUCAUGGCCAUUUGCUCAGCAGAGGAUGAGCUCAAUAGGAAAGACUUCAGAAAGUCUUUUUUCUAAAGUCUGGAUUUAUCAACAGUCUCAAUGAAAAAAUCAGAGAAGGAAGUUUCAGAUGUCCCCUUUGAGGUGAUACUCUGCAGUGCUCUGAUGGCACUCAUCUUACUCCCAAAACAGUGCAAACAUAAGCAAUUUCAAGGCUUCUGGGGUUAGCAAACUCCACCGCAUUCUCCUUCCAUAAAAGGAGAGCCCCACAGUCUUAGAUUUGCCAGCCACAGAAAGCUUUCCUGAGGUCAAACAGAUUCUGAUCUCUGAUCCCAUUUAGUAUCAAAUGUUACAAUGAGCAUAUUAGAGAUCUUGUGGUAACUCAGUUGAGGUGAGAAAUAAAACAGGGAAAUAAAGGAGUGAUAAAGGGUAGUGUUAGAAAAGAAUGGUGCAGCAAGAGACUCAUGAAAAUAAGAAAACCCAAAUGAACUUGGUGUGGUAGAAAAGCGGCCUUCACAACUAUUAGUUCAGAGACUAGUUUAAAAAAAAAGAUGGUACAAUAGAUAUUGUGAUAAGAAUAUUCAAUACAACAUAAGGAAAAUAUUGUACUUGAACUUCCAUAUUAAGUUUGAGAGUUGGGAAACUCCUGAAAGGGUUUGACAGGGUCACUGUGAUUCUGCCUGGGAAAGAUUUGCUCAUCCUGGCUUAGUCUUGGGGACUGUUAGGAAGAUGGGAAAAGUCUCCAGCUCCCCAGGGAAGCAGUUUCAUGCCAAGCCUCCAGGUCUAUCCUUAGCACAGUGCAGUGCCCUGAAGGAGACACGAUUAUUGGUUGCUACAUUCCAGCAACUCUAAGACAGGUACAACAUUAAUCUGAUUUUUAAAAAUUUAUUUUAUAAGUAAAGUAAUGCAUACAUAACACUCAUAAUCAUCUGUACAUAAGAGAAUGUUAAUUCUGGAGGGGCUGAACAUUUCCCUAACACUUCCUGGAGUGCUGGAAAGCGGGGCAAUUGUUCAGGACCACCAGGCACAAAAAUGCUUUCUUUCUCCAGAUGAGAGUUGUCUGACCUGAUGUUGCAUUUGUUUCUGGAACUACGAGCUCUCUAUGUUGGUGAAUGUUCCCUUAAAAUGGUUCUUGGAAGUUCUUCUGAAACAGUGCUUUAGAAGAGUUAGCAAGAAUUUGGCAGAAUUCCUCUUGCAGGAAGAGGGUCACCGGCAACUGGGAGCCCUGGAAGGAACUGUGGGCAGAAGAAAGCCAGGCAGAGGAGAUUGUGUCUACUUUGCUCUCCUUUGAUGCUCUCUUCUGUUAAGUUCUGUACCUCUGCUACAGCGAGUGUGUGUGAAUGUGCACAUGGGCGUGUACACUUCCUAUCAACCUGUAACCUAUCUGCACUGAUGCUUCUCACAAUUUGAAUGUGCAGAGAAAACGUCAUUUCUUAUUUUGUUUACAUAAUAUCUUGCCUUCCUCAAGUACUUCUAUUACCAGCAAGAAAGCAAAGCAAACAAACCAACAGAACCCAACGCGAUGGCCCAUCUGGUUUAAAUCUUAGAUGCACACAAUUCUUUAAGCAGUCCCUGCCACUGCCCAGUUCCCAUCUGCCUUGGGCACAGUGGUCUUCCUCUGGGUCCCAGUGAUUUCCUUGGCUGCCUGGAUGCUGGGCUCCCUGCAGGCUUCUGAGCUGAGACCGAGGAAUAGUGGAUUCAUGGUGGGACCUCAAGGUUCAGGAACCAACCCUGUGAAUCAUGACUCCUGAUUUUUCUCCCCCGAGCUUCUUUUCCAUCUCACUGGCUGAGACCCAUAUAAAAGCCCACAGUCCUUAGUCCUCCAUGCAACCCCUCUGGACUCUCUGCAGCCUGUCCUCACCCCCCACAGACUUAGGGCCAGCCCAGUGGUUCUCAGCUCAGGACCAUGCUGGUGGGGAUUGGAAAACUCUGGCUGACCACUCUGCUCGCUGCUCUUAAGUAGGCCUGGAUCCCCUAUGUUGGCUCAGGGGACCCCACUUAGCAGCUUCUUGGAAAGCCCAUGCAUUCUGUACCUCUUCCUGCUGGAACUUCAUGAGGGAUGCUCAGCACCUGCAUCAGGCUGACCACCUGGCCAGACCCUUCUUGCUCUUCAUCCACCUGCAUCCUUCCAGGGGGAGAAAUAAAGUUUCCUUUAACAUCUCUAUGAGAGCUGCUUUCUACCAGACUAAAGCAAAUCCCAUGUCCAAAAGAGACAAAUGGAAAAACUCUAUUCUCUUUUCAAUUUAGGAGGUGGUUUAAGCUGCAAGUCAGGUCUAGGCCAUUUAAAUGGCAAGUAAAGGAACAGACCAAAUCCACACAGCCUGAAUUUCAGGUCUAGCAUCUUGCCAUAGAGGCUCUCUGCCCAAUAAGCCUCUUUCUUGGCUCUAUGUUGAGAUGAGUGAUAUUGGAAUGAAAUAUGGCUUAAGGAUAAAAAACAUUGGUUUUAUAUUUGUAAAAUGUUGUUUUCAUUAUAACUGUUUCAUAAGGUCUUGUGGGGGAAAAGGAGACCAAGCAACAGUGAAAUAUGCAAUCCAGGAGCUAUAAUGGAUAAAGAGAACCAUUGAUAAGAAUAGGCUUUCCAAAUCAUAAAUGAGGUGUUAAUCAUAUUUUGAGUAUUACCUUUAUGUUUGAAUAUGCCUAUACAACUAGAAUGCUUGUUGUUACUUGUACAUAAAUUUGUAUUUUCCAGUAAUUCUCCAUUUUCUUUUCAACCUCCACAACUAAUUUAUGUCAGUCCUCAAAAAAGAAAAUGAGUGCUUGAAUGUCAGGGCGUGUGACUUGCAUUCUAGGACAUACAGUAACUUCCGGGGCACUGAGUCAGCAAUCUAAUGGUUUAGUUUUCCUACUCCUGACAGCUGUUUACUUCUUUCACCGUAAUUUCAGAGAAAAAUAUCCAGAAGGGAUUUGCUGCCCUAGAUCUAUCAGAAAACAUAUUUAAGAUAUUCUGCAGUCUAAUAAGACAAAUAUCUAACAAUAAAUAAUCAUAUCAUAAAAGGGUUACAAUUUCAAUAAUACUAAAGGCAUUUAAAGCACACAACUGAUCCUUUGUAGAGAUUUAAUGAGACCAUGCAUGGGAGCAGUAGAAGCUGAGAAAUGUUUCCGGUGCUAUUUUAAGGCUAUUGUGGAACAAUAGUUCGAAAGAAACUUUCAAGAUCAUCUGAUUCAGAUUCCUGCUUUGAACACCUAGAAAAGCUUACUCAUUGACUUCUGGCAGAUGAAUAGGGCUGCUCAAAGAUCAGAAAGCCUUGGGAUCAGUCAGUGUUUGGAAAAGAAGCCAAGGUCAAAAGUUCUGAUUGAAGUCAGGGGCCAGGGCAACAGACCGAAUUGGGACCUCAAGGUAAAAAUCAAUCCCUGGAGAGGAAGGCCAGAGCAGAUAGGCUUCCGGAAGCCAGGGGCUCUGGCAGGCAGGAGAGAGCACGGGCAGUCGCAGUCUGCAUCUACGUGAUAACUCUCACUGGUCUCCUGAUGCCAAUUUUGCCCCCAUAAAUGCUUCAGACUUAAAGAACUACUAAGAAGAUAACAAAAAUAAAAACAGAAAAAUCAACAAAAGAAUAAAAAUGAUGCAUUAGAAAAUAUCUACUUACUACAAAAGAAGGCAGUAGAGGAGGAAGAGAGGAACAGAACAUACAGGGACGUAUUGAGAACAAAUAUCCAAAUGGCAGAGAGAGUUCCAAGUAAAUAAAAGUAAUAAAUGUGAAUGUAUUAAGCACUCCAGUAAAAAAAAUAUUAGACUGGAUUUGAAAACCAAGAUCCAACUGUCAAUAAAAGAUACAGUUUUUAAAAAAUUAUAUGUAACUUUAAUGUUUUCCUUUUUCUAAGGAUAUAUUUGGGAAGCAUUUUUAAUACUAUUUAUACACAUCUUGAAAUGGAACAGUAGGAGCUCAAAAUUUUAGGUCAGGAACAAUUAAGGAAUGACUUUAUGUGUAACAAUCAUAGUGAUAAUGAGAGUAGAUUCACUGCAUUCAUGGAUUUUUUUUUUGGUAUACUUAAUCUACAAUUAC